GAAAACUAAUGUCGUCAACCGGCUAUUCUCCCAAUGUCCUUAAACAGUUUAGCUAUAGGAGCGGCGUGGCAUGGUCGGGAUCGGCAGCUAUUGGGGCACCUUGUGUUGAAAGGGUCACAAUGGUGAAUCAUACUGCUGAACCCUGCCACAAAAUGUACUGCUGCACCAAACAUGUCACGCCGCUUCUGUAAUAUAUGGUAUAUUAGAGAACAAACUCUUUACAGUGUGUGUGUAUAAACUCAAUUUUGCUAGUAUGCUUCUGUUGGUACAUUUAAUCAUCAUGAAACAAUACGGUUGAAUGAAACCGGCUUGACUUUUAACUGCAUGUAUUCAUUUAUAAACAUUCCGAAUGUUACUAUCUUUUUCUUUUUGGUACUUUGUUUGUUGUUUUUUGUUAAAUUUGGUUUGAAUUAAGCAUGAAGAUAUCAUGAAUUAGUGCGGGUUUACUACACAAAGCGAUAGCAUGCAGGUUCGCCAAAUUCUGGCAUUGUAUUUGCAGAAAUAUGAGGAGAUGGUCUUAAUGUCAUUUAUUCUGUAAAAAAAAAGCAAACAAACAUAAUUGAAAUAUUUUUAUAGGACAUCGUUUUGUACAUCGAUUUAUAAUUCGAUGACAGCUCAUGAACAUUACCCAGUUUUUCGUGUUGUUUUUGUUCUGUUUGGCACAUUUAUUUUAUCUACUAGAAACAUUGAUGAUAGUAAAUACUCGGAAAGCAGGGGGUGGAGAGAGCUUUUUCGCUGGUCAGAGCCUCGGAUUCUCCCUACCUCCCCCCUCUUAUAUAAAAAUAUCAUAAAAAAUAGGAAAGAGUUAGGGUUGGGGCAGCCGGCUCGCAGCAUACGAUUAACCUGUCUUUCUGGGUAGUUUUUGGAUGAAAUUAAAACAAAAAAUAAUAAUUAUAAUAACAAUAAUGCGUAAAGAUUAAGAUAACAUGACAAGUAUUUGUCAUAUUACAUAUCUGUAUUCUGUCUUACUGCAUAUGUUCAUAAAUAGUCCGGUAUAAUUUAUGUUUCUUUCGGCAUAUUGAUUGCUUAAGUACAUGCAUAUUUGGAAAGAAUUAUGAUAUUUCAGUCUAUAUAUAUUUCGUUCUAUUGAUGCAUUGUGCUAUUGGGAUAUUGAUUGUUAUAUGAGCAGUAGUUAACCACCAUCUUUGAAACCAAUUUAAGUUGUUUGUUUGGUAUUAGUUAUAUAGUAAAGGAAAGAAAUAAGGCGUGUAUGAGUAUAUAAACUUGAUUUUAUUAGUAAACAUACAUUAUUUGCAUUGAUCUGAUUUCAUCAAUUUAGAAUUAUUUUAUUGUCGUGACUUAAAUGGCGCUUACAAAUUGUAAUCUUUAUUCGGGGUACAGUAAAGAAAGUCUUCUUUAUUAAAAUGUUUGGCUCAAGUCAAUUCUAAUUUCAUUUAAAUUUUUGUCCGUGUUGUGAGCAAUAUUUAGUGAUCCACAAAAUAUUUUAUUCUUGUAUACUACGGCAGUAUCAAAAUAAAAGCUCACUUGUCUAGGUUGACCUUCUCGUAUCUGCAACCUCGCGCUCGGUUGGUCAUCUCUUAUUAUUGGUGUUAUUGGGCGGGCGCUCUUUAACCGUUAGAGGGGGCCUUGUACCAUGUGGUCGGCCAUUCACCUGGUCCAUGGAUUGACUGUGUCUUAUAUAAACAAGGUUGUUCAACUUAUCGGCCAUACGAUUAUUAGUGAUCAGUCGAAAGUUGCAUUUGUUAUAUGUACGUGUAGGUCCGUACAUAUUUUUAUAACUUGUGGAUCACUUUGCUACAAACCUCUAACACAUGGGUUAUGUUGAAACAGACAUGUAAAUCCCCCCUGUUUUCUUACGUUUCCAGUCUGCUGGUUAGCUCAGUCAAUCGCUUGGAUGGAUUAUAUUAUUAUUGUAGCAUAGUUUGCUAUAACCAUUCCCUCGCACCGGUCCGUUUGUUCAUAUAUUACAUUGAAACAAUUUUUUCAAUAUUUUAAUAUUUUUGUGCGUUUGUUUGCUGAAGACUUUCUUGACUUACAUCAGAUUUUAUUUUUGAUCUUGGUGUUAUGUUUCAUUUCGCAUUUACUUAAUAUAGGAAGAAUAUUUUUGUUGAUAUCUCAUCUCAUGUCAUAGAGAUCUCUGAGAGCAUCUUUGCCUCGUUUCUCAUUAGUGCGAAGUACUAGAACCUACAAUUACCUAUUAGGUCUGGUAUGUUCUGCGCUUAUUUUCAUAGUUUUCUGCACCUUCGCGCUGCUAUUUUGCUUCCAGGCAUUUAGCUGGAGCUUUGUCUUUAAUAUUUUCUCAUCAUUUUCAUAUAUACCAUGCUAUAUAUUUACAAUAUGCCAUAAUUUUCAUUUGAAAAUUUACAAUAAAGUCACGGCCUUAUCCCACAUAAUUUUGUUUUGUUUUUGCUAUA